UUAAACGUGAAUAUUUUAAAAAACAUUUGUUAUUUUUAUAUUGUUUUUUGGAUUUUCCUCCACUGGGGGAGUUCCGUUAUCCGUACAAACCCCAUUUCUACGGAAAUUCGGUGUUUUUACCCCUCCGCCAAAGUAAUCGGAUUCGUGCCCUAAAACAUAUCCUUAUGUAACUUUUUGUCUUGAACCGGAAAAUUCUAUCGUAAGAGUAGCAACAUUCAUCAUACGAAAAUUUUUAAUGUGUGAAAAUGAGACGCACACAUUGGCAGUGAAUCCGUCAACAUUUGCCGCCAUUGAAACGCCAUGCGAAGAAAAAUUUUAGUGGGCCUCAGUGUGUAAUACAGCUCGCUAUACCAAAAAAGGGUUAAGCAAGAACAAACGCGUCGCAUAAUAGAGAGUGUAGUUCCGACAAUAACGAUAACAAAAAAAUGGGCAUUCAAAUGGUUGAUAGGUGAUACGCGUUUACAGCAGGCAUUAGGAACCUUGGCGAAAAGGUGCUGGUGGGUCGUCGAAUAACGUGACAUUGUCGAUAGAAAUUCUAAUGUGUGCAGUUAAAUAAAAUGUGUGUCGCUUGGCCAAUAACAAUGUAUUGGUAGUCACUUUUCCAGAAUACGAUGCUUUUAAAAUAUUUAUGUGGGGUAUGAAUGACAGAAAUAGUCAGGGUGCGCAGAGUUCGUUGGCGGAAUGGGUGUAAAAGUGAGCGAUUUACCAAUGCCUGAAACUGAUAAGACAAAACUUGACGAAUAUAUUGAUAAAAUUUACAAUAUAGUGGGAAAAUAUGUUAGCAAAUUUUGGAGGAAAAAUCUCCAGUCGGACUCAAUCACUAUUAUUAUUAUAUUUAAAUUACUCAAUACUAUUUUUUUAAUGUUAUUUUUAA